UCAACGUGUAGACUGCAGCGUGGAGCGUUUGUAGGGUGCUGGCGUGGGACGGAUUGAUGGGGCUGGACGAUGGCGUUGGGGGUUUGGCGCGUCGUCUGGGAAAUUCCGGUGCUGAACGCCGUGCGGGCAGGCGAUACGGGCAUAACGUGAGUACUGUAGGGGAGACUGGAAUUCCUGGUGUAGCGGUGAAAUGCGCAGAUAUCAGGAGGAACACCGGUGGCGAAGGCGGGUCUCUGGGCAGUAACUGACGCUGAGGAGCGAAAGCAUGGGUAGCGAACAGGAUUAGAUCCCCUGGUAGUC
rnacentral:rRNA from 1 species